rnacentral:rRNA from 1 species
UACGUAGGGUGCAAGCGUUGUCCGGAAUUAUUGGGCGUAAAGAGCUCGUAGGCGGUCUGUCGCGUCGGCUGUGAAAACCCGGGGCUCAACCCCGGGCCUGCAGUCGAUACGGGCAGACUAGAGUGCGGUAGGGGAGACUGGAAUUCCUGGUGUAGCGGUGAAAUGCGCAGAUAUCAGGAGGAACACCGGUGGCGAAGGCGGUGGUCUGGGCCGGUACUGACGCUGAGGAGCGAAAGCGUGGGGAGCGAACAGG